rnacentral:lncRNA from 1 species
AACCCAUUUGAAUCCAUAUGAAACCAUAUACAUAUAGCCUUUAACUUUUACAUAGCAUAUAAACUUAUAUAUAAUACUAAUUAUACUUAAAAAGACCAUAAACAACCCAACAAGUCAUCAAAAAUUGCAUGAAACCAUUCCAUAUACAUUUACAAACAAUAACAAUCCAAGAAGACCACUAAACAACAAAAAACAACUUAGAAAAGGAAAACAACUUUGAAACCAUCACCAACCGUUCUAGAAAGGUCCAAAACCUCCAAAAUGACCUAAAGAACGUCCAAAUAUGAAACCUCGAACCCCGAAAACCACCCAAUACUGUACUGGAUGAUUUUUUGACGACAAUAAUCGAUUAUCAUAUGUGAUAAUCGAUUAUUUGCGAGAGCUUUGGAGAAAAUAUACUCUUUGACUAAAAUAAUCGAUUAUCAAGUUAGAUAAUCGAUUAUUCUUAUCAAUUUUUUACAGCAACCUGAUUUUUUUUCUAGUUUUAGUGCAUCUUAGACAUAUCUAAAUGAUCAAUUUAGAAUCCAUAACACUAAUAUUGAUAUGAAAAAUGUUUAUAGAUGAAAGUAGAGUAUUGCAUUGGUCAUUUGGAUAGGAAUUAGGUGUACCAAACUAACUCAAUAACUCAAAACCCCCCAAAAUGGCUAAAAACCAACCUAAGAUACAACUUUCACCUUCAUGCCAGAUUUUCAUUAGUUUAAACCUCCAUCCAAGUCCUAAUCGGCCUCAUAACCUGUUACAAACUCUCUAAAACAUAAUAAACCCCUUACUUUAAAAAUCUCACUACUCAAAACCCCAUUUUUACACUAAAAACACAACAAAACUGCCCCCAAUGAAUUACUCCUUUAUUUCAUCUCAGAUUUUAAAUCAAAAGACACCUCUAAGAAGUUUCAAAUGACAUAAAACAAUAUCUGAAAUACCACAUAUACAACUCCAACCCUCAUCUUUCAAAAUUGCCUAUCAAACCUCUACUUUUAACUACACAAAUUCAUAACUUUGAUAGCUCACUGCACCUUGAACAUUUUAGUCAAUUCACAACAUCAAGACAGCUUCAUAAGACAAGGUUCAUCAUCAUUAUAACAUCAAUAUCACAUAUUAUCAAAAACCAAUAAUCAACUAACCAAAUAUACCCAUUAAAUGAACUAACGCUAACAUGCACAAUGGAAUUCUAAUUGAAUC